UUACUCAAAAUAUGUUAAAAGUAUUUCAAGAUAUGCUGAUAACCGCGGGUGAAGAAGUAAAUGCUAUGGAAAACCACGAUCCAUUCGAAUCACCUGUUUCGAAUGACACCAUCAAUGAGGACAAAACAUUAGGUCGUUCGUUCCUUGUGGAGAAUGAUGUCACUGCUUUGUUCAGAGCCACGACUAAUUUAAAUUUUUCACUUAUACAUGAAGUUCAUAUGUACCUCACCACCCCUCCAACAAAUAUGGAUUGCUGUAAAUAUUUAUCUGAUUUCCCAACAAUACGAAAGCUGUAUCUCAAAUAUAAUUCCAUUCGUACGAGUGAAGCGAUUUGCGAACGCCUAUUCCGAUAUGCAGCUCACAUUCAUAAUGUUUUCAUGAAUAUUUGUCCGCGAAAAUACUUGGUGACAUGAUGCCCAAUUGGUGCUGCUUUGUGUUGUGUUGUGUUGUGUUUGUUUGGGUUUGUUUGGUGGUGGAAUCAUCUUCCAUGAUACGAGACGAAGUAUGACCGAUGAUUUAUUUGAAAAUCUACUUCUUUUGCACAUGAGCAGUUGGGACUGGGACUUAUAAUUUGCCAAAUUUCAUCGAUAAAACCUCUCGAAUGAUAUUUAUGUUUCCACCUUGGUCUUACCAUCUCUACUUUUAAGAUUCAUUGGAAUUAAACCAAAGUUUUUUUUACCAAACAUAAAAUUCAACUUA